AAUAGAUUUUAAGCCAUUUCCCAAUUGUUACCUUUUUUGUUUUGUUUUGUUUUCUUGAGAGAGUCUCACUCUGUCACCCAGGCUGGUGUACAGUGGUGCAAUCUCAGCUCACUGCAACCUCUGCCUUCCAGGUUCAAGUGAUUCUCCCACAGCCUGCUGGGACUACAGGCAUGCACCAUCACACCCGGCUAAUUUUUUGUAUUUUUAGUAGAGACAGGGUUUCACCAUGUUGGCUAGGCUGGUCUCGAACUCAUGACCUCAAGUGCUCUGCCUGCCUUGGCCUCCCAAAGUGCCAGGAUUAUAGGCAUGAGCCACCACGCCUGGCCUUCCAGUUGUGACCUUGUUAGGAUACUGCUUUAAUUCAUUUUCCCAUUGAAAAUAAGCAUGAAAAUAACUGUGCAGUCAUAAUUGUGGUAUUUGCUGUGAAGGAAAGUGGCAGGGCUCUGAGUGUUUAUCGGGAGACCUAACCCAGUCUCAGAGGGAAGUCAGAAGGCUGACUCCCAAUGGGGACUUGAAGGAUGAGUACGAACUAGCUAGGUUAGGGGCAUGAGGAAAUGCUGGGCAUUCUGGACAAACAGAAUGGCAGGUAUAAGAUCUGAGGCAAGAGAAAAAGGCCUUGGUAUGUCCAGAACAUAGAGAUGGUUGAAUCAUGUGGCUGGAGCACAGGGAGCUAGUCUGGGAAUGUGGGAUGAAGUUAGAGCUAGAGGCAUCAGUUGUCUAAACCUUGUUCCCAUCUCAGAAGCUUCAGGCUGGCUCACCAUCACAGCCCCCAUAGUUUGUCUUUGUCAUCAGCUAUAACCUGUGUCUGAGCCCGGCUGUGGUCAAGCAAUCCAAUGGCAUUCCUCAGCUGUGAAGUUAGCCAAAGGAAGGAUGUUAAUUUGCCUUUCCAGAACUCAUGUCUGUCUGUUUCAGCCUAGAUAGUCCUGAAUCUUUUCCUUUGACACCAUUCCAUUUAAGGGUUAUGUUGCAGACACCAGUAAAAGUAGAAAUUCCAAGAAAUGUAUAGCUAUUAAUAUAAAAAGUAGGUGUUGCUUACCACACACCCCCAUGCCAUUAUUCAAGUUAAGUCAGGAACUCCUGCUAUAGAAAUAAGUGGCCAACCAGAAAUACUAGAAUGGACAAACAGUUCCCACAGAUAGCUUCUGACUAUAGGACUCGAAAUGUAAAACCUCUGAUUACACUUAAAAAUAUAGAUAUUUUAAGGCAGUUUUUAAUACUAAGGUAAGUGGGUUUCAUUUUUAGCUGCUACACAUCUUAGUGUUUUGUGUAAGAUUUUGCUUAAAAAAGGGGUUUCAUAACUUAAUUGUGGGAGCAUCCCCAGAGCUUUAUGGAAAAAUACUUUUGAGUUGUCACUUUUUUUGGUACAGGUUCCAUCUGGGGGAAAAAAAAAAGCAGAUAAAAGAGUACCCGGGUCUAAAGUCCUGGGUCCUUAAGUAGCUUUCACCUUCUCCUACCAAAAGAGUGCAGCAAAUCACGUAGCCAACUGCUUUGCAGUACAG
rnacentral:lncRNA from 1 species